rnacentral:rRNA from 1 species
UAGGGAAUCUUCGGCAAUGGGGGGAACCCUGACCGAGCAACGCCGCGUGAGUGAAGAAGGUUUUCGGAUCGUAAAGCUCUGUUGUUAAGGAAGAACGUGUGUGAGAAUGGAAAGUUCAUACUGUGACGGUACUUAACCAGAAAGGGACGGCUAACUACGUGCCAGCAGCCGCGGUAAUACGUAGGUCCCGAGCGUUGGCCGGAUUGAUUGGGCGUAAAGCGAGCGCAGGCGGUUAGAUAAGUCUGAAGUUAAAGGCAGUGGCUCAACCAUUGUAGGCUUUGGAAACUGUUUAACUUGAGUGCAGAAGGGGAGAGUGGAAUUCCAUGUGUAGCGGUGAAAUGCGUAGAUAUAUGGAGGACCACCGGUGGCGAAAGCGGCUCUCUGGUCUGUAACUGACGCUGAGGCUCGAAAGCGUGGGGAGCGAACAGG